GCUACAGCAGCAGCGCGGCCGCGGCAGCAGCAAUGUGCCGCAGUGCUCUCUCGCUGCCCGGCGCUGAUUUCAACAUCACACCGCUCCGUUUGCACCGAGCGCGGAGGAACGCGAGGAGGAAACAAAAUGUUUAGGUUGGUCACUUGUGUAAUCCAGAGUCAGAGGUUGUGUUAAUAAUCAACAGGAAGACCUGAAAACGCAAACCUGGAGACAAAGCUGCAAAGUGUUCAGGUUUCAUUCAACCUCCUGCUUGGUGUGACCAGCAUAAAGUUUUCACCAUAUCAAACUUCUUCCUCCAGCCAGAGACACAAACCAGAGGGACCUUUCCAACAAUUAUACAUUUUUUAUUUAAUUGUAAUUUUAUUUCAAGAGUACUAUUUUUCAUGUUAUAU